CGAACGCUGGCGGCGUGCCUAAUACAUGCAAGUCGAACGGUCUUUCUAUGGAAGCUUGCUUCCACUGAGAAGAUAGUGGCGAACGAGUGAGUAACACGUGGGUAACCUGCCCAUAAGAGGGGGAUAACAUCCGGAAACGGGUGCUAAUACCGCAUAGUUUUCUUGAUCGCAUGAUUGAGAAAGGAAAGACGGCCUUUGUGCUGUCGCUUAUGGAUGGACCCGCGGCGUAUUAGUUAGUUGGUGAGGUAAUGGCUCACCAAGACGAUGAUACGUAGCCGACCUGAGAGGGUGAUCGGCCACAUUGGGACUGAGACACGGCCCAAACUCCUACGGGAGGCAGCAGUAGGGAAUCUUCCGCAAUGGACGAAAGUCUGACGGAGCAACGCCGCGUGAGUGAAGAAGGUUUUCGGAUCGUAAAACUCUGUUGUCAGAGAAGAACAAGUUGGAGAGUAACUGCUCCAGCCUUGACGGUAUCUGACCAGAAAGCCACGGCUAACUACGUG
rnacentral:rRNA from 1 species